rnacentral:rRNA from 1 species
GUCGAACGCUGGCGGCGGGCCUAACACAUGCAAGUCGAACGAGUGGCGGACGGGUGAGUAAUGUCUGGGAAACUGCCCGAUGGAGGGGGAUAACUACUGGAAACGGUGGCUAAUACCGCAUACCAUCGGAUGUGCCCAUAUGGGAUUAGCUAGUAGGUGGGGUAAAGGCUCACCUAGGCGACGAUCCCUAGCUGGUCUGAGAGGAUGACCAGACACACUGGAACUGAGACACGGGCCAGACUCCUACGGGAGGCAGCAGUGGGGAAUAUUGCACAAUGGGCGCAAGCCGGAUGCAGCCAUGCGGCGUGUAUGAAGAAGGCCUUAGGGUUGUAAAGUACUUGCAGCGGGGAGGCGUUACCCGCAGAAGAAGCACAGGCUAACUCCGUGCCAGCAGCCGCGGUAAUUC